CCCCCUCCCAAAAUGGCGGGGAGGUUUGUGGGCCGGGCGGGCCGGGGGGCGGCCUCGGCUUGACCAGGCCGGAGCUGCCCCUGGCUGUUCCAUGCUGAAGUGCCAGCAAAAUGCUGGUGAGAGAGCUGCGAAGCCCUGGCCUGAGACCCAGAUCUGGUUCAAGACCUGGAAUUUGCUUUCUGAAGCCCUGGAUGAUCUGGGAGUCAAGGUGUCACCCACCUGCCUACCUGCUGUCUCAGCAAGCCUUCAACUGCAACAGUUGCUGAUGUUGUUGGUUCCCUUUAGUCUAAUGCAAAAGUUCAUCAGAUUGAAGACGGAGAUGAUCUUGUAAUGAAGAACAUGACUGAUCAUCUAAGAAACGGAUUUGCUCCAUCAAGAUAACUGCUGAAAAUGAUCACACGCUUGUCAUAUGCCUGUGACAAUGAACAUCGCUGUGUUUUCCCACGCGUACUCCAGGGCACGGGUAACUCGCGUCCUUUGGAAAGAACUGGGAUGAAUAUAUCCUCUGCAUAAAAUCAGAGUUGGGUGGAAAUCAGCAGCUGCUGCUGAGGUGGAAGCAGGGCAGAGAAGAUUGGACGCAGGAAAGGUGCUGGGUGAAUCUCCACUCGUGUUAUCUGUGCAGGCAUGUAACCUGCCCUGCUGUCAGUCACAGGGCUUGAAGAGACAGGGCAGCCUGUCCUGUCUGGGCAUGAAACCACGUUAUUCUCAGUUAGCAUCCAACUGGUGGAACAGAGGGAAUGGCCGUGUGCUAGGUACUAAAGGGAUAGGGCAGAGGGUGAUGAUGUAGAAAGCUGAAUUUGGAGAAAAGGAGUUAAAGAACAGGGUUUAGGCUUUGGCCUAAAGGAGCCAAAGGAUUCGAUUCUGCUGAUGCGGGCAUUGGACACCUGGCUGCAAAUGUGGAUAUUUGGGCAUGAAGAGGUUAAGCUGUCUGCGCUCUUUUGUUCUGCCCUGCCUCUCCCUUCAGAAGAAGACUUGCCUAUAAAGUUAUUUUUAGAUGCCUUGUGAGCAAGUUUUGUGGGAAGACAAGCAUCCAGCAGCCCCCGGAGAGCUGCUAAGCCCACCCCUCUCAGCUUACAGCAUGUAAUUAGCAGAUAAUCAUGCCAAAAUCGCAGACUCCAACAGGCUAAUUUUAUCACAUGUGCUGACAUCGGUAAGCUUGUUGAAAGUAAGUUGUGGGUUGUUGGUUAAAUGUGUUUCCUCACUUGUUUAUGAGCUCGUGUUCCCGCGUUUGCUGUAUAAAGGCGAGAUCAAAUGCAGAUCUUGUUGUUUAGCAGCCACUGGUGUUUUGAUUAGGUUAGAUAACACGGAUGUUUCCUAGCAUUAAAACUGCAUUUUAUUAAGGCGUGGCCACUGCUAAGAGUAUUUCCAAUAACGCUAUCGUGUUCUGUUGCAGGACUGGUAUGGAAGGUGUUUGAGCUUUGAGUCAGCAAUACAUUCAAGCACGUGCUUUGAGGUGUACUUAUUCAGCUAACGUGUAAUUAUAUAUUUAUAAAUGUUUAUAUAUGAAAACCGGUAGGUGCCUGCUGGAAUUGAGCUGUAAUUUCCCAUGAUCUAAAUGGGAAUUAAGCAUGUAUUUUUAAGCUAUGUUUAUGCUGAGGAGUUUUGCUAAUUUAAAGCCUUAGUAACUCCUGCAGUUUUCUUUAGCAAAGAAAAAUAUUAUGUGUCUGAUGGCUGGGCUGAACAGCCUUCAGGACCUGCAUACCUCUCUUACUGAUGUGAUAAAAUAAAGAUACUUCUUAAUAGAAAACACAGCCCAGAGUGAUCCAUCUGGGUACAAUAAAUCUGAGGCAGGUAGAUACAAUAAAAACUCUCACUAUUUCCUCCUGAUAAUAGGAAGAUUAAGUUGGCCAAGGUUACAGGGUCAAAAAUAGGCUCAGUAACAGGAAUCUUUGGGAAAGAUGACCUGAAGAAUGUAAGAAAUGAGUCUGGCAUCGUGCUGCCUGAUUUCCUGCCCAGGGGCUUGGGAGAGGUACUGGCCUGCAGCAGGCAAAGGUGGCCUGGGCUGUCCCAGAGGUCAGCCAGGGAAGGGGAGCCUUCGAGUGUCCUUGAUUCACAGAACUGCCUUUUGUAGGGUGGAUUUCCCCACUUGAGGACAUUUUAAGCUGUUGUGGACAGCUGAAGGUUUGGGAACAAUUCUGUGUUGGCCAGAGGAAAGGCUGGGGGGACCUAUGAGGUCUCUUCCAUUUACGUGUCUCUCUGGUUUUGCAUCAGGACUCUUAAUGAAUAGCAUCAUCCACCAAAAUGCUUCUCAGUUCCUGCCAGAGCCUCUUCCCUGCGACAUUUUGGAUCUGGCGUUGUAGAAGCAGAUGUCAGGCAUGGGAUUCAUCUUACCUCAGUUGCCUGACCUGGAUGAUGCAGGAGGUCAGUUUACCAUAUCUGAAGAGAUAAGAAUCGGUGAAUCUGAACCCAAAUACGAUCCCUUAGUUUCAAGCCCUGCAUUUAAACUUAAUCUGGACCUAAAUUUCCCCCUUCAUUCCAUCUGCUUGGAGAAAUAGAAUGGAUUUUCUAAGGUAAUAAUUUGGAGGGUU